UUCUCAGAAGAAUCUCUACAGAGAUGUGAUGCUGGAAACCUGCAGGAACUUAAUCUUUAUAGACGCAGUGCGAACACCUGGACUCUCCUACUCUCACCAUGCCUUCCCUACAGUGAUGGACUGCAUCCCCCGAAAAGGACCACUUUCCCAGGAGUGGCAUGGCCCACAGUGGGCUGGGCCCUCCCACAUCACA